CGAAUGGCGUAAUGAUGGCCAGGCUGUCUCCACCCGAGACUCAGUGAAAUUGAACUCGCUGUGAAGAUGCAGUGUACCCGCGGCAAGACGGAAAGACCCCGUGAACCUUUACUAUAGCUUGACACUGAACAUUGAGCCUUGAUGUGUAGGAUAGGUGGGAGGCUUUGAAGCGUGGACGCCAGUCUGCGUGGAGCCGACCUUGAAAUACCACCCUUUAAUGUUUGAUGUUCUAACGUGGACCCGUAAUCCGGGUUGCGGACAGUGUCUGGUGGGUAGUUUGACUGGGGCGGUCUCCUCCUAAAGAGUAACGGAGGAGCACGAAGGUUGGCUAAUCCUGGUCGGACAUCAGGAGGUUAGUGCAAUGGCAUAAGCCAGCUUGACUGCGAGCGUGACGGCGCGAGCAGGUGCGAAAGCAGGUCAUAGUGAUCCGGUGGUUCUGAAUGGAAGGGCCAUCGCUCAACGGAUAAAAGGUACUCCGGGGAUAACAGGCUGAUACCGCCCAAGAGUUCAUAUCGACGGCGGUGUUUGGCACCUCGAUGUCGGCUCAUCACAUCCUGGGGCUGAAGUAGGUCCCAAGGGUAUGGCUGUUCGCCAUUUAAAGUGGUACGCGAGCUGGGUUUAGAACGUCGUGAGACAGUUCGGUCCCUAUCUGCCGUGGGCGCUGGAGAACUGAGGGGGGCUGCUCCUAGUACGAGAGGACCGGAGUGGACGCAUCACUGGUGUUCGGGUUGUCAUGCCAAUGGCACUGCCCGGUAGCUAAAUGCGGAAGAGAUAAGUGCUGAAAGCAUCUAAGCACGAAACUUGCCCCGAGAUGAGUUCUCCCUGAGACUUUAGGUCUCCUGAAGGAACGUUGAAGACGACGACGUUGAUAGGCCGGGUGUGUAAGCGCAGCGAUGCGUUGAGCUAACCGGUACUAAUGAACCGUGAGGCUUAACCUU
rnacentral:rRNA from 1 species